UACGUAGGGUGCGAGCGUUGUCCGGAAUUAUUGGGCGUAAAGGGUGCGUAGGCGGGUCUUUAAGUCAGGGGUGAAAUCCUGGAGCUCAACUCCAGAACUGCCUUUGAUACUGAAGAUCUUGAGUUCGGGAGAGGUGAGUGGAACUGCGAGUGUAGAGGUGAAAUUCGUAGAUAUUCGCAAGAACACCCGGGGCGAAGGCGGCUCUCUGGGACGGUACUGACGCUGAGACGCGAAAGCGUGGGGAGCGAACAGG
rnacentral:rRNA from 1 species